AAUGAAGUGGCUGAUAAAAGCAAUAAAUUGUAAAUUUAUUCAUGAUUCCCUAAUCCUUCAUUA
rnacentral:tRNA from 1 species